UGAGAUUCAACUCCUCCUACU
rnacentral:miRNA from 1 species